GAGAAAUUUCAGAUCAUCGUUGAUCUGAAAUCUCUAAGUCUUAUCUGAUGUUAUGCUGGUAGUGAAGAAUUUGCGAUUCUACCUUAUUGAACGACACUGCAGAGUUAGCUUUCCAAAACGGCAGGGCCCGGAAGGCUACUCUGUUCAGUUCAGGCUGUUGCACCGUCAUGGCUGCUGGAAAGAUCUUUGCUGCAUGAUUCGAGAACUAAAUUCCGUAACGGUUCUCUGGUCCACGUUGGGAAACAUUUUUCGGUGCUAAGGUAAAUGAAGAGCUGUAGCCUGGCGGAUGAUGAUUGAUUGAGUCCGUCGAUCAGGUGUCGUUAAGUCCGGUUCACGAGUUAUGGAAAUCCAAUAAUUCACAGUAUACGCAAUUAAAUACAACUUCAAUUCAUACGAUUAGC
rnacentral:lncRNA from 1 species